AAAACAGUAAUACUGCUCCUAAGGUCUUCAGUGGGAGCCGAAAAACAAAAUUUUUUUGGUCUUAAGGUCUUAAGGUAAGUUAUUUCUGCAGUUUGCUAGUAACUAUUACGAAGUUUCCCAUCUUUUGCUAACAUCUUUGCCAGUUGAAAUGCAAUGAAAAUAAAUACAACUACAUUUUAAUAAGAAAAUUGUAUCUUUUUUUAGUUGCAGGGCUCUCAGAAUACAAAGACUAGCUUUUAAAAAAACUCAUCCUCAACAUAUCUUGCAGGCAAUAAGAGUUUUUUUGUGUAGGAUUGUCUUCUCAGCUAAAUGCUAGUUUAGCUGGAAUUAAUUUCUCUUUGUGGACUGCUUAUAUAGCAUGACACUGAAUUCACAAAUCAGCAAAAGCAGACAUAAUUUCAAAGCUUCAUUUUAAAACUAAAAUGCUGUUAGCUGCCUUUAUUUGACUUUCCAGAAACCUAGAAGCAGAAACUACCUCAGAGUAACCACACAGCUCCACUCCUGCCAGAGACCAAAAUACACAGUACUCUCUUUCUCAUUAAAAAUCUAGUUCCCGUAUGGACAUUUUAUUAAGAUAUUCAUUGAACUGGUAGCUAUAUAUUAAUUCAUGCUAAUUGUCAUUCUCAUAAACCAAAAGGCUGGGGAGCAAGAGAAGGCAGAAUGGCAGAAAAGUAAAAAGGAAUGCGAAGAAAUAACCUGCUGAACAUUCUGUGCAUUGUCUGAUUUCUCUGUGCUUUUCUCCAGAGUAGAUGCCUACCAGUGUUUUUUCCUGGUAAGAUAUUUGCUUUACCCCUAACAGGCAGUACUUUAUUAGUCUUGUUCUCUGAAGUUCGACUCCUGAUUCUUACAAAGCCGACUGCUUUGAAAUUCAGGUUGUGCUUUCAGGCCCCUGGAAGUCACCUGCUUUAUGAACGGCAGAUUAAGGCAAUUGUUCUUAUUCUUGAGUCCAUGAAUAGGAUUCCACAAAACAAACUUAUCAAGACUGUGAUUACAGAGUCUCUCUUUUCUUUCUUUUUCAGUUGCAGAAAAGAAAAUGAAAGACACAAGUAGACUGCAGAUGUUGAUUUGCAUGCUAAAGAAUACAAAUCUGGAGAAAAUUGCAAAAAACUGCAUCACAAAGAGCAGACUCUACAGACAGAUCUGUACUUUUGUGAUAAAAUGGAUCCAAAAGAAAGAAAUAAAAAUAAUCUGUCUGAGGUGUGCUGUAAUUCUCAACCUUGCUUCUGAAGGGGAGCUCCUGGAGAGUGCCCACAUGCACCUGACCUUGGCUUUGCUUUCUACUGUAAGAAGAUAUGUAAACCCACAGGAUUUGUCUUGUGUCCUCUGUGGUGCCCACAGAAAGUUAUUCUUCUGAACCUGGAAAGAAGAUGUCUCUCUUUCAUAGAAACAUACAGAGAACUUAGAUGCAUGCUAUAAAUAUUUGGUCCAUCUUUAUUUUUGCAGUGGAUCUGCCUGGCAUCUGCAGUAACUGAAAGGAAGAAGCUAACAUACUUGUCUUCAGUUUCUUCACAUUGCAGGGCAGAAUGUGUGUCUGCCUUUGCUUUAAAUCCUUUCUUGUUCUCUGCACAAAUUACACAUCCUAUAUCCAUACUGUGCUGUGGGAAAAUUAGGAUUCAGUAUUUCCAGUCCUCCCUGCAAAUGUUAGUGGUGCUUCUUCAUGCUGAGAACUUUUCAGCAAGAGGCAAAGUGACAUUGAAUACUUCAAAAUUCAAUCACUCAGUUCCCUGUUAUUCCUCACACUCUGAAAUAAAGAUGAUUCAUCUACAAGAAAUGGUCUGUGGACCCUGUUUUUCCCUUAAAUCAAACUAUGGCCCACUGAUGCUCCACCCUGAUGACGUUUGUAAUGGGCUGUGGGAGUGGGACACUGUCUUCAGUAAUUCUGUCCCAUGUGGUACACCAAUUGAGACAUGAGCUGUGCUCCAGCUGUAACCGAAGAAUUGUGCACAUUUCUUCAUGAAGAUAACAUUGUAAAGAUGUACCUUUUUUCCUCCUUGCCGUCUUCCAAGCAGAAAGCAGUGUCUGAUAUUAGUUGUUGUGUGCCCAGAGUAUAAAGUCAGUCUCAAUCUAUAUGGAUAGGAAAAAAAUCAGAGGCUGUAUUUUAUUGUGCACUGUGUUGGUUGUUCUACUGAUAUCUCAUCCCUCUUUUGUGUCUUGGAAGCUUGAGGGAGUAGGACUCAGUUAUUACCUUCAUGUUUGGACUGAGCUUACAUACUAAAGCUCUGACCUUUUAUUGCAGACCUACAUAUUAUAGUAAUAUAAAUCUAAUAAAGAUGUAGUCAGCAGUGGCCAAUCUCUAAUCAAGCCUUCAAAUCCAUGCAAUCAGAUUCAGAGCUGCACUGUUGUUCUUUGUAGUCCUUUUAGUUAGCUAUUCCAGGAUUUUUUGAGUGAUUUAUCUUGUGACAAUUUUCAGUACUCUUUUCACAGAAGUAAAGAAAAAUAGAGUGCAUCAAUCAAGCCAAAAGAUGAAACUGAGAAAAUCAUAGUGUAUUUAUUAUCUAAAUAUGAAAAUGUCAUGAAAAAGUAAACCAAAACAUCUCCAAAAUUCAGGAUAUUUUUCUUUCUAGGUGCAUUUGGUAGCUCUACCUAUUACUCUUGGAUGCUUCUCCAAAUAAAGAUCCCUUUUCUGGCUGCUUCAAGGUUUGUUGGAUUUCAAUUAUUUGGGCUUAUAUUUUCCAUAUAUGAUUCUGACUCACAGAAUCAGAGCAUGGCUGAAGCUGGAAGGGACAACAUGUGUGUCUAUGUGGUCCAAUGCCCCUGCUCAAUUCUCAUGUCCAGGCAGUUUUUGCAGACCUCAAAAGAGAAGACUCCACAACCUCUCUGAGCAUCCUGUGUCGCUGUUCCCUUAGCUGCAUACAACAGAAGUGCUUCAUGACGAUUAGAUUAAACCUUGUGUUCCAGUUUGUGUCCAUUGUCUCUUUUCCUGUCACUGGGCAGUACUGAAAAAAGCCUGGCCCUGUCUUCUUUGCAUCCUCCCUUUAGGUGUUUAUAGGCAUGGAUGAGAUCCCCCUGAGUCUCCUCUUCUUCAGGCUGAACAGUCUCAGACAUAGUCUGUCUUUGUAAAAUUUGAGUUAAAAGGAUUCAGAACUAUCAGAGAAGAGCAAUAUGUAUUGUUUCAGCCAUGCU